UUUUUCUUUGAAGAGGUUGAUUUUAUAUAAUUUUUCAAAGUUGAGAUUCAUAUAUGAUUACAUAUUUGAAGUUACUUACUUGGGAUAGUUGAGUAGAACUAUGCUUAAGUCAUUGGUCAAUUCUUGAAUUGAUGUUUUAGUUAUUAAUUGUAAGCUAAUCUAUAUAGAAUGGGUUAGUUUGCUCUUAAACUUUUUCAACUUGAGAUAUCCCAAGAGAUAUGAUGUUACUGUUUGCUUUUAGUUAAUUAAGUCCAUAAAAGUAGAAUACUCAGAUUAGAGGAUGCAACUUUCAAGCGAUAGAAGUUUCAUUCAAGAUUUAUUUUCUAUUUACUUAUUGUUAUCUAAUCUUACGUGGGCACCUCAUUAUAGUGAAGGUUCGAGUGGAAACAUAAAGUGAACAGGCAAGGACUUCUAUUUUAUUAAGAGUAUCAGGUGGGCUUACAAACUCAAGAAGUAAAGAUGCAUACUUUAUUAUACAAAGUUUAAGUGUAUGCAUUUAUUUUCAAAUUAUUGACUUGCCAAUUUGAGAUUUGUAUGAUACCAUCUACAUAGAAGAACGAAUUCGGGUCCUGAGCGAGUCAGGAUUUGUGUACACAGAGUUGACAGUUAACCUUUGAGUUAGCUUGUCAUUGUGUUUGAGAAGGAGGCCUACUUCUCAACACUUAAAGUUAUAUGAUGCGUAGAUAUGGUACAUACAUGUUAGCUGUCUGCAGACGUAUAUGAUGUUAUGAUGAUUAUAGAGAAGUUUUACAGUUUUUGCGUGCACGGGUUAUUUAAGUAAAACUCCUAUGUGAUGCUUGAGAUGACAAGUUCAAUAUAUAGCUCUAAGAGCAAGCUUUUAAGUUAUUUGGCAUGUGACCACUGAGUGCUUUUUGGUACUCAGUCCUGCAUAUGUUUCUAAAUAUGCAGGUUAAGCUGUGAUGCAGAUGGAAGCAAGCAGAGCAAAGCCCUCGGUGUAUAUAUAUUAAAUUAGGCUCAG
rnacentral:lncRNA from 1 species